GGGACUCUGCGUCUCUGAGGAUGCCGUGGUAAAAAGAGCACCGACCAGCGGGCUCUAUCUUGAUCAGUCUAUGUUCUGUACUUGGUACUGGACUGCGCAAUACUGUAUCUCUGAAAUGUACUGGAAAUAACGCCAACCUUAUGUUCUGCUCAUAAGGUUAUGCACCUUGUUUUUUUGUUCUUUUUUAGAUCACAAAUUUCCCCCCGUGGUUUGAUCCUCG
rnacentral:lncRNA from 1 species